rnacentral:lncRNA from 1 species
GCAUUGAAAUAUUUAAUAUUACCUUUAAAGUCAUUCUUAAUUUUAAAUACUUACUUAGGCCUUAAGAUAAUACCAUUAGAUCCUAUAUUUUAUUUUCAACCAUAGACUGCAUUGCAUCACAUAUAGCUUUAAGCUACUUAGCUGACUAAAAACGUAUAAUAGUCGAUCAUAUGAGACUGAGUUAACCAUAUGGCUAAGGCCAUAGUCAUUCUUAAC